GAUGAACGCUGGCUACAGGCUUAACACAUGCAAGUCGAGGGGAAACGACGGGGAAGCUUGCUUCCCCGGGCGUCGACCGGCGCACGGGUGAGUAACGCGUAUCCAACCUGCCUCUGACUGAGGGAUAACCCGUCGAAAGUCGGCCUAAUACCUCAUGGUAUCGUCUGCGGGCAUCCAACGACGAUUAAAGAUUUCAUCGGUCAGGGAUGGGGAUGCGUCUGAUUAGCUUGUUGGCGGGGUAACGGCCCACCAAGGCUACGAUCAGUAGGGGUUCUGAGAGGAAGGUCCCCCACAUUGGAACUGAGACACGGUCCAAACUCCUACGGGAGGCAGCAGUGAGGAAUAGUGGUCAAUGGGCGAGAGCCUGAACCAGCCAAGUAGCGUGCAGGAAGACGGCCCUAUGGGUUGUAAACUGCUUUUAUGCGGGGAUAAAGUGAGGGACGGGUCCCUCAUUGCAGGUACCGCAUGAAUAAGGACCGGCUAAUUCCGUG
rnacentral:rRNA from 1 species